CCUACGGGGGGCUGCAGUGGGGAAUAUUGGACAAUGGGGGCAACCCUGAUCCAGCCAUGCCGCGUGUGUGAAGAAGGCCCUCGGGUUGUAAAGCACUUUCAGUGAGGAAGAACGCCUGGUGGUUAAUACCCAUCAGGAAAGACAUCACUCACAGAAGAAGCACCGGCUAACUCCGUGCCAGCAGCCGCGGUAAUACGGAGGGUGCGAGCGUUAAUCGGAAUUACUGGGCGUAAAGCGCGCGUAGGUGGCUUGAUAAGCCGGUUGUGAAAGCCCCGGGCUCAACCUGGGAACGGCAUCCGGAACUGUCAAGCUAGAGUGCAGCAGAGGAAGGUAGAAUUCCCGGUGUAGCGGUGAAAUGCGUAGAGAUCGGGAGGAAUACCAGUGGCGAAGGCGGCCUUCUGGACUGACACUGACACUGAGGUGCGAAAGCGUGGGUAGCAAACAGGAUUAGAUACCCCGGUAGUC
rnacentral:rRNA from 1 species